rnacentral:rRNA from 1 species
AAUAUGUCGCAAUGGAGGGAACUCUGACGCAGCGACGCCGCGUGAGCGAUGAAGGUCAUAGGAUCGUACCGCCCUGUCCUUGGGGAAGAAGGUCUUCGGACUUGACGGUACCUCAGGAGGAAGCCCCGGCUAACUACGUGCCAGCACCCGCGGUAAUUCGUAGGGGGCAAGCGUUGUCCGGAAUUAUUGGGCGUAAAGGGUGCGUAGGCGGCCUUUUAAGUCAGAUGUGAAAGCCCACGGCUUAACCGUGGGACUGCAUUUGAAACUGGAGGGCUUGAGUAUCGGAGAGGGUAGUGGAAUUCCCAGUGUAGCGGUGGAAUGCGUAGAUAUUGGGAGGAACACCAGUGGCGAAGGCGACUACCUGGACGAAAACUGACGCUGAGGCACGAAAGCUAGGGGAGCAAACA